rnacentral:rRNA from 1 species
GGAAUCUUUCACAAUGGGCGAAAGCCUGAUGGAGCAACGCCGCGUGCAGGAUGAAGGCCUUCGGGUUGUAAACUGCUUUUAUAAGCGAGAAAUAUGAUGGUAACUUAUGAAUAAGGAUCGGCUAACUACGUGCCAGCAGCCGCGGUCAUACGUAGGAUCCGAGCAUUAUCCGGAGUGACUGGGUGUAAAGAGUUGCGUAGGUGGCAUAGUAAGUAGGUAGUGAAAUCUGGUGGCUCAACCAUUCAGGCUAUUACCUAAACUGCUAAGCUCGAGACCGUUAGGGGUAACUGGAAUUUCUAGUGUAGGAGUGAAAUCCGUAGAUAUUAGAAAGAACACCGAUAGCGUAGGCAGGUUACUGGGGCGGUUCUGACACUAAGGCACGAAAGCGUAGGGAGCAAACG